rnacentral:lncRNA from 1 species
AGUGUCCCUCCUGACUUUUUAGCAGUCCUGGGUAAAUAGUGAUUUGCCCCCACUUUACCUAGCUUCUCACCGGCUGGCCCUUUGCAGGCUAAGGAAGCAACCUCUGCAAAGACUUGAUUUUUGUGGUCACUUGCAGCCCCCUUUCAUCCAUCCCCCAACUCCUUCCUCCCUCUAAGUGGCAUUGUAAAACUCAACAGUGACAAAGAGACAAAGUAAGGUUCCAGGCUCCGAUUCUUGGAGACCUGAGGGCUUGAGGGCAGUUUACAUACGGGUCAGACGCGGCUGGAGGCCAAGGUCAAGUUGAAAGUUGCUGUCUAGUCAGCGUGAGAAACUGCAAUGAAAGCCUGGAGGCCGGCCGCCCACCUCCCCUCA